rnacentral:rRNA from 1 species
AGAGUUUGAUCCUGGCUCAGGACGAACGCUGGCGGCGUGCUUAACACAUGCAAGUCGAACGGUGAAGGGAUCAGCUUGCUGGUUCUGGAUGAGUGGCGAACGGGUGAGUAACACGUGAGUAACCUGCCCCCUUCUUCUGGAUAACCGCAUGAAAGUGUGGCUAAUACGGGAUAUUCUGGGUCUGUCGCAUGGUGGGCCUGGGAAAGAUUGCGCCUUUUGGGUGUUUUUGGUGGGGGAUGGGCUCGCGGCCUAUCAGCUUGUUGGUGGGGUGAUGGCCUACCAAGGCGGUGACGGGUAGCCGGCCUGAGAGGGUGGACGGUCACACUGGGACUGAGACACGGCCCAGACUCCUACGGGAGGCAGCAGUGGGGAAUAUUGCACAAUGGGCGCAAGCCUGAUGCAGCGACGCCGCGUGAGGGAUGGAGGCCUUCGGGUUGUGAACCUCUUUCGCCAGUGAAGCAGGCCUGCUCCUUGUGGGUGGGUUGACGGUAGCUGGAUAAGAAGCGCCGGCUAACUACGUGCCAGCAGCCGCGGUAAUACGUAGGGCGCGAGCGUUGUCCGGAAUUAUUGGGCGUAAAGAGCUCGUAGGCGGCUGGUCGCGUCUGUCGUGAAAUCCUCUGGCUUAACUGGGGGCUUGCGGUGGGUACGGGCCGGCUUGAGUGCGGUAGGGGAGGCUGGAACUCCUGGUGUAGCGGUGGAAUGCGCAGAUAUCAGGAAGAACACCGGUGGCGAAGGCGGGUCUCUGGGCCGUUACUGACGCUGAGGAGCGAAAGCGUGGGGAGCGAACAGGAUUAGAUACCCUGGUAGUCCACGCCGUAAACGUUGGGCACUAGGUGUGGGGGGCCUUUUCCGGGUUUUCCGCGCCGUAGCUAACGCAUUAAGUGCCCCGCCUGGGGAGUACGGCCGCA